GGAGAGGUGGCUGAGUGGCCGAAAGCAACGGUUUGCUAAACCGUCAUAGGGGAAACUCUAUCGGGGGUUCGAAUCCCCCCCUCUCCGCCA
rnacentral:tRNA from 1 species